rnacentral:lncRNA from 1 species
AUGAACAUGCGUAUUGCAACAAACAAAUAAAGGGAUAAUAGUUGCGACAUUGGGAUGAAGACAUCGAAACAUCUUGAACAUAUUAUUACAACAACAAAGAAAAAAUAGUUGAAACAUCAUGUUGAAACACCAUGAACAUAAUAGUACAACAAACACCAAACAACUGCUGCAACAACAUGCAACAACUACUGCAGACAUGCAGAUUGAAUCAACUG